UACGAAGGGAGCUAGCGUUGUUCGGAAUUACUGGGCGUAAAGGGCGCGUAGGCGGUUUGACAAGUUGGAUGUGAAAGCCCUGGGCUCAACCCGGGAAUUGCAUUCAAGACUGUUUUACUUGAAUUCGGUAGAGGUUGGUGGAAUUCCCAGUGUAGAGGUGAAAUUCGUAGAGAUUGGGAAGAACACCCGUGGCGAAGGCGGCCAACUGGACCGACAUUGACGCUGAGGCGCGAAAGCGUGGGGAGCAAACAGG
rnacentral:rRNA from 1 species